UACGCAGGGGGCGAGCGUUGUCCGGAGUUACUGGGCGUAAAGGGCAUGCAGGCGGUCGGACGCGUUUCGGGUGACAGCGGGUGGCUUAACUACCCGAGUGGUCGAAAGACGGUUUGACUUGAGGACGCGAGAGGGACACGGAAUUCCGGGUGGAGUGGUGAAAUGCGUAGAGAUCCGGAGGAACACCGAAGGCGAAGGCAGUGUCCUGGCGCGUAACUGACGCUGAGGUGCGAAAGCCAGGGGAGCGAACGGG
rnacentral:rRNA from 1 species